CUAAGAACAAAGCCUGAGGUGUUUUUGUUCCACAUCAUAGCCCUACCACCCCCAGCAGUAGAAGGAAUAGCAUCAGCUACUGCUGGAGCAGUACUAGUAGAUGGUGUAGCAUCUACUGCAACACCACCACCAGGACCUCCUACAACAACAGUAGUAGACCUAGUCUUUAUCAUCUCAUCUAGUACAUCAGCAGCUCCAACAAAACCACCCUCAACACCAACCAC
rnacentral:lncRNA from 1 species